rnacentral:rRNA from 1 species
AGGACGAACGCUGGCGGCGUGCUUAACACAUGCAAGUCAAGGGGGCCCAGCAAUGGGCAACCGGCGAACGGGUGCGUAACACGUGAGCAACCUACCGAAAUGUGGGGGAUAGCCGGCCUAACGGCCGAGUAAUACCGCAUACGCUCUCGAUGAGGCAUUUCAUUGAGAGGAAACCUACGGGACAUUUCGAGGGGCUCGCGGCCUAUCAGCUAGUUGGCGAGGUAACGGCUCA